rnacentral:rRNA from 1 species
GCUUAACACAUGCAAGUCGAACGAAACACCUUAUUUGAUUUUCUUCGGAACUGAAGAUUUGGUGAUUGAGUGGCGGACGGGUGAGUAACGCGUGGGUAACCUGCCCUGUACAGGGGGAUAACAGUCAGAAAUGACUGCUAAUACCGCAUAAGACCACAGCACCGCAUGGUGCAGGGGUAAAAACUCCGGUGGUACAGGAUGGACCCGCGUCUGAUUAGCUGGUUGGUGAGGUAACGGCUCACCAAGGCGACGAUCAGUAGCCGGCUUGAGAGAGUGAACGGCCACAUUGGGACUGAGACACGGCCCAAACUCCUACGGGAGGCAGCAGUGGGGAAUAUUGCACAAUGGGGGAAACCCUGAUGCAGCGACGCCGCGUGAGUGAAGAAGUAUCUCGGUAUGUAAAGCUCUAUCAGCAGGGAAGAAAAUGACGGUACCUGACUAAGAAGCCCCGGCUAACUACGUGCCAGCAGCCGCGGUAAUACGUAGGGGGCAAGCGUUAUCCGGAAUUACUGGGUGUAAAGGGUGCGUAGGUGGUAUGGCAAGUCAGAAGUGAAAACCCAGGGCUUAACUCUGGGACUGCUUUUGAAACUGUCAGACUAGAGUGCAGGAGAGGUAAGCGGAAUUCCUAGUGUAGCGGUGAAAUGCGUAGAUAUUAGGAGGAACAUCAGUGGCGAAGGCGGCUUACUGGACUGAAACUGACACUGAGGCACGAA